AACGAACGCUGGCGGCAUGCCUAACACAUGCAAGUCGAACGAGACCUUCGGGUCUAGUGGCGCCCGGGUGCGUAACGCGUGGGAACCUGCCCUUAGGUUCGGAAUAACUCCCCGAAAGGGGUGCUAAUACCGGAUAAUGUCUUCGGACCAAAGAUUUAUCGCCUUUGGAUGGGCCCGCGUUGGUUUAGCUAGUUGGUAGGGUAAAAGCCUACCAAGGCGACGAUCCAUAGCUGGUCUGAGAGGAUGAUCAGCCACACUGGGACUGAGACACGGCCCAGACUCCUACGGGAGGCAGCAGUGGGGAAUAUAGGACAAUGGGCGAAAGCCUGAUCCAGCAAUGCCGCGUGAGUGAUGAAGGCCUUAGGGUUGUAAAGCUCUUUUACCCGGGAUGAUAAUGGCAGUACCGGGAGAAUAAGCUCCGGCUAACUCCGUG
rnacentral:rRNA from 1 species